rfam:Aptenodytes forsteri contig54970, whole genome shotgun sequence.
GGGGAUGUAGCUCAGUGGGAGAGCGCUUGCUUUGCAUGUAAGAGGCCCUGGGUUCAACCCCCAGCAUCUCCA